UACGGAGGGGGCUAGCGUUGUUCGGAAUUACUGGGCGUAAAGGGCGCGUAGGCGGAUGUUCAAGUCGGGGGUGAAAUCCCGGGGCUCAACCCCGGAACGGCCUCCGAUACUGGACGUCUCGAGGACGGAAGAGGCGAGUGGAAUGCCGAGUGUAGAGGUGAAAUUCGUAGAUAUUCGGCGGAACACCAGUGGCGAAGGCGGCUCGCUGGUCCGUUUCUGACGCUGAGGCGCGAAAGCGUGGGGAGCAAACAGG
rnacentral:rRNA from 1 species